rnacentral:lncRNA from 1 species
AGUCAAAAAAGUCUGACUGCAGAGCAAUCCAUUCAUACCCACCAUGGUCUCCUGCCUCUCUGUGCUCUCUCAAAAAGACCACUAAGGCCGGGCAUGGUGUCUUUUCCCUGUAUCUUUAUAUGGUCCUUUCUCUGUAUGUGCCUGUCUUCUAACCUCCUCUUCUUAUAAGGACACCAGUCCCACACUAAUGACUUCACUUAACCUUUAUUACCUCCUCAAAUACCCUAUCUCAAAAUACAGUCACAUUCUGAGAUACUGGGGGUUAGGAUUUCAACCUAUCAACUUGGGAAGGACAUAGUUCAGACCAUAACAAACUUUUUGUUAAUUUUCUUGGGAAUUUAUGCAGGUCAAGAAACUGAGCAAAAGUGCUGCAGAGGUUGGAUCCUCGGAACAUACUACAAUUAACACAGAAGUAAUAAGUAAUUACUGCAAUACUUAUUAAACAUUCACCCUGUGCACAGUUCUGUAUGCAAUGCUCAUGGAAGGAUUAUGAAUGUUAGUACAUAUUAAUGUUGCUGCUGUUUGAGACUGUUCAGGUGUGUUGCACUCUAUGAGAAAUGUGAAGAAACAUAACAACCCCAACCUCUAGGUAAUUAAAAUCUUGUUGGAAAGAAAAGGGAAAGAUAUGUGUAAC